GAUGAACGCUGGCGGCGUGCCUAAUACAUGCAAGUCGAGCGAACAGAUGAGGAGCUUGCUCCUCUGACGUUAGCGGCGGACGGGUGAGUAACACGUGGAUAACCUACCUAUAAGACUGGGAUAACUUCGGGAAACCGGAGCUAAUACCGGAUAAUAUAUUGAACCGCAUGGUUCAAUAGUGAAAGACGGUUUUGCUGUCACUUAUAGAUGGACCCGCGCCGCAUUAGCUAGUUGGUAAGGUAACGGCUUACCAAGGCGACGAUGCGUAGCCGACCUGAGAGGUGGAUCGGCCACACUGGACCUGAGACACGGUCCAGACUCCUACGGGAGGCAGCAGUAGGGAAUCUGCCGCAAUGGGCGAAAGCCUGACGGAGCAACGCCGCGUGAGUGAUGAAGGUCUUCGGAUCGUAAAACUCUGUUAUUAGGGAAGAACAAAUGUGUAAGUAACUAUGCACGUCUUGACGGAACCUAAUCAGAAAGCCACGGCUAACUACGU
rnacentral:rRNA from 1 species